GAUGAAGAACGUAGCGAAAUGCGAUAAGUAAUGUGAAUUGCAGAAUUCAGUGAAUCAUCGAAUCUUUGAACGCACAUUGCGCCCGCCAGUAUUCUGGCGGGCAUGCCUGUUCGAGCGUCAUUACAACCCUCAGGCCCCCGGGCCUGGCGUUGGGGAUCGGCGAGGCGCCCCCCGCGGGCACGCGCCGUCCCCCAAAUACAGUGGCGGUCCCGCCGCAGCUUCCAUUGCGUAGUAGCUAACACCUCGCAACUGGAGAGCGGCGCGGCCAUGCCGUAAAACACCCAACUUCUGAAUGUUGACCUCGAAUCAGGUAGGAAUACCCGCUGAACUUAAGCAUAUCAUAAGCGGAGGA
rnacentral:misc_RNA from 1 species